AAAAAAACUACGAAGUGUUAAAAAGUGUAAAACCAAAUUCCAAAAAUAUCUUUAUAAAUAUAUACAAACACUAUUAGAAACAGCUUUCCUACAUAUGGUCUUUCGCUCUGUCUAGUAAGGACGAUUCUGUGGGGAACCGUUAGUGUGUAAUCCUAUUAUUUUGGUAUUACCAGGUUCAAAUAAAACACAAUAGAACACUGAUCACAUUUAGUUUUUUUUGUAUACUCUAACAUUUUUUUAUGAUCACCACGAGUUUGGGGUUUAGGGUUAAAAUUUAGGGUUAAAUAUGUUAGAUAAAAGUAAGACCGCUGACGAACUUAACCACAAGCAACUGAUUUAUUUCUUUAGCUAUAAAAUAAAACGUCCUGUCCACUGAUUAACCAAUCAACAGCAACACCGAAAACACAGAAAUGUUAUAAUAAUGUAAAACAAAUAAAUGCUGCUGUAGUGGUUGAUGUGGGAAAGCAGUGGAUUUAAUCUAUAAUUUAAUUCCACAACAAAUAUACUAAAGUCUCAAAGUUUAGUGGGUAUAACUUACGUCUCUCUAAUAACCACUUUUUCUAUAUUUACCAUUCCGGCAAUCGUAUAAAUUUACGUUCUCUUUGUGUACGCCCAAAGGAAGACAUUUAAGGUAUCAGCAAUGCAUAAUUAAAACACUCCCGAUUCUCUUAAUGUCUAUCUGUUAACAUUUAUUGACGAUGCACACCCCAAGGAGCAAACUUACUGGGAGUUUUAUCAUUUCUUUACCGUGUGUGUAUGUCUAUUAUAAAAAAAUUGCCCAAAUAUUGGAUACCCUCGUUAUCACACGGGUUUAACACCUUGUGCAAGAUUACGAUGUACCUGGUAUGUUAAUUUGUAGGUGAUUAUUUUUUUAGGGUAUUUUUUUUAUUUUUUGAUGUAUGGCUGAUAAUUUGGACAACCUAUCAGUGACCACCGUUAAGAGCGAUUGCUGUUAAGUGUCUUGGACACAUACGCACACAAUGGUAGCAGGUUGAGCCUUGAACCGAACCUAUUACCUCUGGGUUACAUUACAGGCAGACGCGCUAACCAUUAUGCCACGGCAGCGGACUAUACUACAUUUUUCGUCAUGGCAUUAUCGUGAAAGCACAUCCUAAUUCGUAACUACGCUUCUGUGCGAUGUUCUCCGCCACCGUUGGCUUGUCAAUAAAGAAGUCAAUAAUCUGUUGAGUUUGGUGCUCCUGCUAGUCAUUUUGAUCGCUUAGAAGUGGAUCAGGAUCAAGUACGCAUAGGGAGGAAAAUCUAGAACUACCAUUUAUGGCCACCUACUACACGACAAUGGCAAUUAACACACACCCUGUAACUUAACAUAGAAUAAAACAUAAAACAAGCUCUGAAUAAAACAAAUACAUAACUAUAACCAAAGAGAUUAAAACACUUGGCCAGUUGGGACUAUGCGAAGAAGUAGUGCCAUGUGCCAGUCUGCAGUGUAUGGCAGUUCCUGACGAGAUCUCACGCGUGCAAGACAGUUAUUUUUUGCGUAUGCGCGUGUUUUAAUCUCUUUGCAUUAAAUAUAUAAGAAUUCAACACAA